rnacentral:rRNA from 2 species
ACGGGGCGCAGCAGGCGCGAAACCUUCGCAAUGUGCGAAAGCACGACAAGGUUAAUCCGAGUGUCUCCUGCUAAAGGAGUCUUUUGUCAGUUGUAGAAUCACUGAUGAAUAAGGGGUGGGCAAGUUCUGGUGUCAGCCGCCGCGGUAAAACCAGCACCUCGAGUGGUCAGGAGGUUUAUUGGGCCUAAAGCAUCCGUAGCCGGUUGCAUAAGUUUUCGGUUAAAUCUAUGCGCUCAACGUAUAGGCCGCCGAAAAUACUGUGCAGCUAGGGAGUGGGAGAGGUACACGGUACUCAAUAGGAAGGGGUAAAAUCCUUUGAUCUAUUGAUGACCACCUGUGGCGAAGGCGGUCUACCAGAACACGUUCGACGGUGAGGGAUGAAAGCUGGGGGAGCAAACCGGAUUAGAUACCCGGGUAGUCCCAGCUGUAAACUAUGCAAACUCAGUGACGCAUUGGCUUGUGGCCAACGCAGUGCUGCAGGGAAGCCGUUAAGUUUGCCGCCUGGGAAGUACGUACGCAAGUAUGAAACUUAAAGGAAUUGGCGGGGGAGCAC